UUUAUGCUGCUUUAAAGUUCUGCUUAUAACUAGGAGUGAUCUUGGAGCCUCUUCCACUUUGGAGUGGGGUUGAUGAAAGUCUUUCCUUCUCCAAAACUCAACAUUUAACCAGUUCUUUCUCAAGACAGACUAUACUGAGACAGCAAGUUGUCACCAGCAGAAGGAACUAUGAACUUUAUUUAAAAAGGUGAAUUAAUUCAUCCAAAGGGAUACUUGUAGUUUAUCAUUUACCCCAAAACUUUGUGUUAGGUACCCUAUGAGUAAAAACCUAUAAUUCCUGCAUUUGCUGUAUGAAUCAUCUGUAAGGGAGCAGGUCUGUGGUAAACAUGCUCAGGAGCCUGGAGAAGAAAAGGCAAAUAUCUCAGAGGGAUCAGCCUCUGUUAUUCUCCGCAGAGUCAAGAGUCUUUUACUGAUUUGGGGGGCAAAUUAAUUAAUUCAAGGCUCUGUAGUAGCCUCUUGGUAACUAUCCCAGCUACAGAUCCUGCCACUGACACGAGUGUUUCUGGCUAGCUUCUGCUCCUUCUGCCCUCUUUUACCAGUCUACCCUGUUAUAGCCUCUUAGGUUAUAUCAUUUAACUUCUACCCUCUUAGGUUAGUUUUCUGUAACAGAAAACUGUGAACUGAAAUGAAAGUCC
rnacentral:lncRNA from 1 species